rnacentral:tRNA from 1 species
UGUCUGUUGAGUCUAGUAGUAUGAUUCACCCUUGGGGUGGGUGAGGUCCCGGGUUCAUUUCCCGGUCAGACCCGCAA